rnacentral:rRNA from 1 species
GACGAACGCUGGCGGCGUGCUUAACACAUGCAAGUCGAACGGAAAGGCCCUGCUUUUGUGGGGUGCUCGAGUGGCGAACGGGUGAGUAACACGUGAGUAACCUGCCCUUGACUUUGGGAUAACUUCAGGAAACUGGGGCUAAUACCGGAUAGGAGCUCCUGCUGCAUGGUGGGGGUUGGAAAGUUUCGGCGGUUGGGGAUGGACUCGCGGCUUAUCAGCUUGUUGGUGGGGUAGUGGCUUACCAAGGCUUUGACGGGUAGCCGGCCUGAGAGGGUGACCGGCCACAUUGGGACUGAGAGACGGCCCAGACUCCUACGGGAGGCAGCAGUGGAGAAUAUUGCACAAUGGGCGGAAGCCUGAUGCAGCAACGCCGCGUGCGGGAUGACGGCCUUCGGGUUGUAAACCGCUUUCGCCUGUGACGAAGCGUGAGUGACGGUAAUGGGUAAAGAAGCACCGGCUAACUACGU